GGUGGGUUUGCUCAGUGGUUAGAGCGUAGGUCUCGUAACCGAAAGGUUGCGGGAUCGAAUUCCUACACAGAACA
rnacentral:tRNA from 1 species